rnacentral:tRNA from 3 species
GGCGUCGUAGCCAAGUGGCUAAGGCAGGGCUCUGCAAAAGCCCGACCGCCGGUUCGAAUCCGGCCGACGCCUCCA